UACGUAGGGUGCGAGCGUUGUCCGGAAUUAUUGGGCGUAAAGAGCUCGUAGGCGGUUUGUCACGUCGGAUGUGAAAUCCCGGGGCUCAACUCCGGGUCUGCAUUCGAUACGGGCUGACUAGAGUUCGGUAGGGGAGACUGGAAUUCCUGGUGUAGCGGCGAAAUGCGCAGAUAUCAGGAGGAACACCGGUGGCGAAGGCGGGUCUCUGGGCCGAUACUGACGCUGAGGAGCGAAAGCGUGGGGAGCGAACAGG
rnacentral:rRNA from 1 species